ACCAAGGGUUCCUGUCCAACGUUAAUCGGGGCAGGGUGAGUCGACCCCUAAGGCGAGGCCGAAAGGCGUAGUCGAUGGGAAACGGGUUAAUAUUCCCGUACUUGGUGUUACUGCGAAGGGGGGACGGAGAAGGCUAUGUUGGCCGGGCGACGGUUGUCCCGGUUUAAGCGUGUAGGUGUGUGUUCCAGGUAAAUCCGGUUCACUUUAACACUGAGGCGUGAUGACGAGGCACUACGGUGCUGAAGCAACAAAUGCCCUGCUUCCAGGAAAAGCCUCUAAGCAUCAGGUAACAUCAAAUCGUACCCCAAACCGACACAGGUGGUCAGGUAGAGAAUACCAAGGCGCUUGAGAGAACUCGGGUGAAGGAACUAGGCAAAAUGGUGCCGUAACUUCGGGAGAAGGCACGCUGACACGUAGGUGAAGUGAUUUACUCAUGGAGCUGAAGUCAGUCGAAGAUACCAGCUGGCUGCAACUGUUUAUUAAAAACACAGCACUGUGCAAACACGAAAGUGGACGUAUACGGUGUGACGCCUGCCCGGUGCCGGAAGGUUAAUUGAUGGGGUCAGCGCAAGCGAAGCUCCUGAUCGAAGCCCCGGUAAACGGCGGCCGUAACUAUAACGGUCCUAAGGUAGCGAAAUUCCUUGUCGGGUAAGUUCCGACCUGCACGAAUGGCGUAAUGAUGGCCAGGCUGUCUCCACCCGAGACUCAGUGAAAUUGAACUCGCUGUGAAGAUGCAGUGUACCCGCGGCAAGACGGAAAGACCCCGUGAACCUUUACUAUAGCUUGACACUGAACAUUGAGCCUUGAUGUGUAGGAUAGGUGGGAGGCUUUGAAGUGUGGACGCCAGUCUGCAUGGAGCCGGCCUUGAAAUACCACCCUUUAAUGUUUGAUGUUCUAACGUGGACCCGUGAUCCGGGUUGCGGACAGUGUCUGGUGGGUAGUUUGACUGGGGCGGUCUCCUCCUAAAGAGUAACGGAGGAGCACGAAGGUUGGCUAAUCCUGGUCGGACAUCAGGAGGUUAGUGCAAUGGCAUAAGCCAGCUUGACUGCGAGCGUGACGGCGCGAGCAGGUGCGAAAGCAGGUCAUAGUGAUCCGGUGGUUCUGAAUGGAAGGGCCAUCGCUCAACGGAUAAAAGGUACUCCGGGGAUAACAGGCUGAUACCGCCCAAGAGUUCAUAUCGACGGCGGUGUUUGGCACCUCGAUGUCGGCUCAUCACAUCCUGGGGCUGAAGUAGGUCCCAAGGGUAUGGCUGUUCGCCAUUUAAAGUGGUACGCGAGCUGGGUUUAGAACGUCGUGAGACAGUUCGGUCCCUAUCUGCCGUGGGCGCUGGAGAACUGAGGGGGGCUGCUCCUAGUACGAGAGGACCGGAGUGGACGCAUCACUGGUGUUCGGGUUGUCAUGCCAAUGGCACUGCCCGGUAGCUAAAUGCGGAAGAGAUAAGUGCUGAAAGCAUCUAAGCACGAAACUUGCCCCGAGAUGAGUUCUCCCUGAGACUUAGAGUCUCCUGAAGGAACGUUGAAGACGACGACGUUGAUAGGCCGGGUGUGUAAGCGCAGCGAUGCGUUGAGCUAACCGGUACUAAUGAACCGUGAGGCUUAACCUUACA
rnacentral:rRNA from 1 species